rnacentral:lncRNA from 1 species
AUAGCGACGUCUCAUGCACAGAACGCCACCGCGUCGGUUUAGCCGUUAAAUGACCCCAGCAAGUGAAGGAGAGAGGCCAAUGAAACACGGUCUGCGCGUUCAGCAUGGAGGGACCGCCUGCUAAAGCACCACGCGCGCGCGUCUGCGCCAGGACAAUGGCUAAUUGGACCAGGAACACGAGCGCUGUCGUCGAGCCGUUUUUGCAGCGCGGCGAGUCCAGUCCGCCGUGUGGGCCAGGAGGCGUCUCUUACUGUACCGUGGACUCGAAAGGUAAUGGCGCUGCUACAGUUUGGGACAGAAGCCUGUAUCUUAUGCGCUGUCUGCACCGCCCGAGCAGAGCGACACCGAGGAUGGCGGACCUGUUUCCAACUUGGGUUUCUACUCGAAGCUUCCUAGGGAAGGAAGAAGCGGCCGAAAAGACCAGAUCCAAGACAACACGCCAGCUGCUCGCAGUCAAGAGAAUGGGUCCCUAGCGGAGGGUGCCCGGUUUUCUGCUUGCCUCGAGAACGAAGACGGUGUCGACUGGGACGAACUAGUCACUCGCCUCGAUCUCAGUUUCCUUGACGAAUAGGCAAGAAAACGUGUUUGAAAAAAAAAAGCGGUCUCCAUUUGGCACAUGUAAUCCAAAACGGGGCCUGACACAUUACUCGCAUACAGUGGUUAUUGCCACUGACGGAGUGCUUAGCCUUAGCCUCACAUUGACAUAAAUUAUUUGUCCGUGUACCCGUGGUUUUGUUAAAAUUAAAGCACUCCAUUUAUGUUCUUGUGUUAAGAGUAACAAAUGGCUACAUGAAAAAAAUGUGUGUGUGUG